ensembl:snRNA U1 U1 spliceosomal RNA
AUGUUCACUUGAUGAGGGAAUUACCAUUAUCAGAAAGUGUUUCGCCAAGAUGUGACUGAACCACUGAAUUUCAGGUACACUGAACUUUAUGAUUUUCCAAAUGUGGAAAACUUGGCUGCAUACUUGGUAGGAGUGAGGUUUCUGUACCCAUACUUGCCUGG